UGCUAGAUAGCUCACUUGGUAGAGCGUGAGACUCUUAAAUCUCAGGACUGUGGGUUCGAGCCAUGCGUUGGGCAA